CCCCUUCCCCUCUGAUCUGUCCCUGUUCCCUCCAACUCUCAUGUCCUUUCCAUUUGGAAAAGCUCUAUUUCCAUUUUUCUUCAAUUUCCUUUUUAAAAAUCCCCUUUCCCUUCCUUCCUUCCCUCCUCCCUCCAUCUGUUAUUCCCCUUUCCAUGUGAACAAGAUCUCCCUACUUCCUAUUAUCUUUUAUUUUGCUCUCUAUUUGUACUUCAGGUUUCUCCUAGAAGAGAACCCAUGUGAUAUUUAGACUUACGUGUCUGAUCCUCCUGCCUUAAAGCCACUGAGUAGCUGGGAUUACAGGCCUGCACCACCCCACCAGGAUUAAUGUUGUAUUUUUAAUGGUCUUAUUAUUCUCUCAAUUACAAGCGCUUAUUUCAUAGUCUUUACCAUUAGAGACAACAGGACUGUCUUAACUACACUUAAAGAAUAACCAACAUGUUUUCCUUAAUAUUGUGUCCAUUAAAUAGUUAAAAUAUAAAAAAGAAAAUUAUUAGAAAAAUACAAUAGCACAAGAAGAAUUAUCAUUAUUCUUUCUAGUUUUCACUUUCUAUUUAGAAAACACACGAGAUAGAAACUGUACCUUAACUUUGACCCAGUUACAGUGGUGAAGCAAUAUGAACUCUGCCCCUGAACGCCAACCUGGAAGUGGAGGUUAUUGCUUCUUCCCACAUGGGUGUCAGUUCAAUUUGAUAAGUGUACCACAUGAACCAACCAUUUAGGAAGCAAGGAAUUAAGAAAACACAAUUCCUGUCUCCCAGAAGCUUAUAGUAUAGAGGAGGUUUUUUUUUGAAUGGUCAAAGUCAGAACAGGUUUUCUUUGUUUAUUCUUUUUGUCGGGAUAGAAAUUGUAAAAAUUUCUCGGCUGCUUCCUUUGGGAAAACGAAGUACUUUAAAAACAAUAUAUAUAUUCAAAAUUCAAAGGAACUGAAGUCAGUACAAUGAGGAGAUGAGUACACUCCCAUGACCACUGAAUGAUUAUUCACAAUGUCCAGUCUUUUUAGAAAUGUACCGCAACGUUUCCUUGGGGGAGCAGGUACUGGGGAUGGAAUGCACUCAGUCUGCACUGAGCUACAGAUGUUUCCAAGGCCGAGACAUCCGAAGACUUGACUGGGGCAGAAGCUCUGCUUUGAAAGUGACUCACUCAAAUACGUGGCAAAUUGGUACCCUCUGAAGAGUUCUUGAUCUGUUAAACUUGUACCUCUGCCCAGAGCUUGUUGAAUGUCCACACCCUCACCACUAACCCAACAAGCUCCAAGAGAGAUGGAGGCUGCAUUAUCUUUAUAACCUAACCUCAUGAGAUAAGUGUUGUCAUUUCUCAAAUAUCUUAUUGGCUAAACCAGUCAUGCCUGCUCAUUUUUAAAUGAAACUAUACAAACCAUGUAAAACAGGAGAACUACACACAAAAUAUGCAAAGAAUCAUUGGGCCAUUUUCAAGGCUGGCUACCACAAGGACCAAUGUUUGACUUUAGAAUUUUCAUUAUCUGUUACUUUAAACAUAAAACCUUUUUAAAAAUUAUCAAUGUGAUAUAUCUCUUCCUAUUUUUCAAACAUUUCUGAAUUUUUUAUUUAGGUAGGUCUUUAUAAGAAAUGGAAUUGGAAUUUGUUCUGCUUUUUAUUUUCUGUCUGACAAUCCCCUUUAACUGAAAAAUGGACUCUGUCGUAUUUGUAUUUAUUUUGAUUACUGAUGUAUUUGGGUUUGUUUCUACUAUCUACUACUGUAUUUUUCUGUGUUAACUUUUUCCCCUCCUUUCUUCUCCUUGACCAACAUUUUUAAUCAGUGUAUAGCACUUUCACUAUAUCAAGUGAAAUAUAGCCAUAUUCUGAUUGUGAUUAAACCAUAAUGUAAUUGAAGACUUUUAAAUAAAUAUGAAGAUCAGGGUCUUUCGUCAAGUUUGUAUUUCAACCUUUGUCUUACUGAGUAUUAUCUUGCCUGUGUUCUCUGUCCCACCUUUGUAACUCUUCAAUUACACUUUCUGUUUCCAUACUACAUAUCUUAAAAGUCAUUUUUAUAUAUUCCAGCUAUAUCUCUUCACUUUCCUUUGUAUGCAAUUUAUUCAGACCUAUUUUAUAUUUCAAUAAUACCCUUUUCAGCAAUUUUACUCUGCUGUACAAGCCAUGCAAUGAAUUUUACUCUUCUUUUAUUUUACUUUCAAAAUGUCAGUUGGUUCUCUUUCACAUGUAUCUAUAUAUUUGCUUUUUUUCCCCACGUACUGAAGAUUGAACCCAGAGCCUUCCCGCUAGCUGCAUCUUCUCCCCCCUGACCCACCCCACCCCCUUUUUUUUUCAGACACAGUCUCACUAAGUCACUAAGUUGUCCAGGUUGUGAUUGAACUGUGAUCCUCUUGAUUAUGUUUCCUAGGGCUGGGAUUACAGGUGUGUGCCACCAUGCCAGCUUCUACUUGCUUUUAUAGUUUUUUGUCUUUUACCGUUGUCACCUAAAUUACUUUUCUUUUUUUUUUUUUUUUUGAGGUUUCCCCAAAAUGCUUUACUAAGACAAAGGUGGGGGAGGGGCAGGGAAGGAUCCUUCACCCCAGAGACUGAAGCCCCCCCCCCGCCCCCCUGCAGCCACCCGGCUGAUUCAGUGCACUGCAGGGAGGGCCUUCUGGGCUCCAGGGAGAACUGCUGGGGCGAGAGCAGGCGGGGUCCGCGUUGCUUUCCUCAUGCAGCGCUAAAUUACUUUUAAACAUAUCAACUAUAAUUGAUUUGCAUUAUAAAAGUGAAAGUUAGCUCCAUCUGUUUCAGGUCUUCUCCUUCUUAAUUUUUCCUGAAGACUCUUUCUGUGAUGCUCUAGUCUAUCAAUUUAGUAGUUAAGUUUUGACGAAUCUCAUAUGUUUUGAAAUUUUAUCUGUGAAAAUUAUUUAAGACCUUGAUAAAGAGAUUUUUCUGGUGGGGGUGGGCUGGGAGUGUAGCUUAGAGGUGUAGCACUUGCUAUCAUGACCAAGACCCUGGAUUCAAACCUCAGCACCACAAAACAAAUAGACAAAAAAAAAAAAAAAAAAAAGAAGCAUGAAAAUAUUUUCCUUUUCACAGGAUUUUUGCUAAUUUCUACAAAGUACGUAGGGACACUAAAAAUCAUGUAUCAUUUAAACUGAAAUUUUACAUUUUUAUACAUUUUUGGUUAUAUAUGUAAAAUGAAUCUGACUUACAGGGAGAUGCGAUGGGGUAUUUUCUUGAGGUGAUACUCUCUUUUUUUCACUCUACACCCAAAACCAAACCAAUAUUCAUAGUCUCUCUCCCUCCCUCUCUCCCUGUCUCCCUCCUUCUCUCUUGCUCUCCCUCUCUCCCUGUCUCCCUCUCUCCCUGUCUCCCUCUCUCUCUCUCUCUCUCUCUCUCUCUCUCGCUCUCAUUUAUUUCAUUUACAGUAAGUGUUGCCUUUCAGGGAUCCUAUUUAUAAAGAGAGGUUUCUGACCGGACUUGCAAACUUUUGCAGCCAAAAUAGAUUAUAUUCAUGAAAACUGAUAUCUUAAACUUUAGACUGUAUGCCAUAAAGAUUGCCAAACAUCUCCAGGGAAAGCAUCUAUUUCAGUGCUUGUUUAUUUCUUUUGAUUUGUGAUUUCAUACUGCUCAUGGACUAUGAUAAUUCCCCCUUACUGUCCCUCCACCUCAGUUAUGCAAUUAAAUAAUCUUUAAGCAUAUAUACUGUGUGCAAUUUUUUUUUUUUUUUUUUUGCUAAUGGGAAAUUUGCUAGUGGGAAGAUUUUCUAAAUCUAUCAUGUUGUCUGAAAUUAUAGGAGGAAUGACCAUGGGAUUUCUCAUCAGAAAAGAGCAAAAUUCUAUUUUUUAAUUUGUAUUUUUAGUGAAUGUUUGCUGUACACGAUUGCAUUCAUUAUAAUGAGUUGGUAUUUGUACAUAACACAUCCUAAUUUUUUUUCAUCUGCUUCCCUUGCCCUCGCUCAUCCCUCCAUCUCAUGGUUACUUUCUCUUUUGCAAAAGAUUUAUUUUUCUUACUAUCUAUAUUUACUUUGCUCUUUAUUUAUAUUUUGGGUUUCUCAUAUAAGAGAAACGAUGCAAUAUUUAAGCUUGUGUGUGUGAUUUAUUCCACCUAACAUUAUGGUCUCAUCGUGCAUCCGUUAUCUUAAAAAUGACUAGAGUUUAUCCUUCAUUCUUGAACUCAGACUUUUGAAUUCCAUCAGCCUUCAUUCUUCAAAAGAAACAAAACACAGCUACCACCACACAUUUUUGAAAUAUUGAGAUUAUCAUUAAUCCCAGAAAAGUAGUAUUAGAUACUACUGACUCCAUCAUGAGAAAGAGUUUUAACUGUGGUGAGCAACAAAGAACCAAUAAUCUUGUACUAUGUUAGAUGUAAAAUAAGAGAUUUCCUAUGGUGAAAGCAAAGGGCAAUGGUCAGAAACUGAAACGGGAGAGAAAAAGACUGAAAUAAAGACUUCCUAUAUAUUUAUACAUUCUCUUUCUUUAAAAAGAAAAGUGAAAAAUAUUGUCUAACAUUAUACUGAAGUUUCUUUUAUUUAAGAAACAAACAAAAACUAUAGACACAUACUUUUGCAAGAGAGUCUGAAUUCUACAAGUAUUUGAUCUCAGAAAUCUAAAGUGCGCAAAUAAUUUAUGUACAAAUUUAGUAAAUAAUGAACAGAGUCCCUUCAACCUGAGGUUUUCUUGCUCUAUUCUCUUUCAUUGAAGGGUAUCACCAACCAUCCAUUUAGCAAGCUGGAUAGUUAAAAAUUACUGAAGGAAUCUUUCACACAUUUGCCAUCAAAUCUUUCACAUUUUUUCCUCAUAAUCUCUCUGCAAUCAAUCUACCUCUUCUUAUUUCCUCUACCAGCAUCUUUGCAUGAAUUAUUGUGAUAUGCCUCCCAGACUUCUCAAAUAUCUCAAUUAGCAUGGGAACUGGUACACAGGCCCAUAAUCUCAGCACUUAGGAGGCUGAGACAGAAGGAUAGUGAUUUUGAGGCCAGCCUGGGUAACAUUGUGAUUUCAAGGCCAGCCUGCACUUCAUAGCAAGACCUUGUCUCACAAAACAAAAUAAAGGGCCGGGGAUUUAGCUCAGUGGUUCCGCUGCUUGCCUCACAAGCACAAGGAGACCCGAGUUUGAUCCCCGGUACCAAAAGAGAAACAAAAAAAACCAAAAUAAAACAAAAUCUCCAUAGCUUCUUGUAACUUUGGAGGAAGGAAAAAAUGUUAUCUAUGAUAACAUCAUCUACAAGAUUCAUAUUUUACCCUUUUCCUACAUCUUACUAAUAUUCUUCAAAAUAUUCGUUUCUCUUUACACAAUUCCAUUAGCGUUCUUUCUUUUCUUCAAAAUCAUCAUGUUCCUUCCUGUACCACAAGAGUUUUCAUAUGUCAGAUUCCCUACAAGGAAUAUUCUCCUUCCUUUCUUUUCUUUCAUGUUAAUUUUCACUCCCUAUCAACUAUCAUAUGAAUUCAAACUUUUUUGGUGAAGCUCUCUCUGCAGUUUUUUUUAUUAGACUGCAAACCUAUUGAAGUAUCACGUCUCAUUCAGUAAACUUUGAGGAAGUAUAAUUAUUAAAUUGAUGUCUACCUUUACUCUAGCCCAAAGCUCCAUGAACAUAAGGAAAUUAGCUAACACCUUACUGUUCAUAAGAAAUAGUUUAUUUUCUUUUUAAUUAUAAAAUAUAUUGGAAGUAGGAACAUAUAUAUAAUAAUAAUAAAUAAAAUAUCAAGGAAUAUUACCAAGGAAGAACAUACUUGUCAGUUUAUAAAAGUCCCAUUUAUGCCUCUCUCCAAUUAUCUAUCCACUUGCCAUAUAUAUGUAAAACCUAGCAUUAACCUGAAGUUUCAACCAUUGUCCCUACCUUUAGCAUAAGCAAUAGUAAUAUUUAUUCAUUAAAUAAAAGUAUAUCUAGAUUUUCUAGUUUUUUAUCUGAUAUAAAAGGAGGAAUAUUCAAUAUAUCCAUCUUUAAUUUGCUUCUACCACCUACUGUUUUAUUUCUGGAAUUGAACCUUACUCUUGGGUAUAUUACUAGUCCAUUUGUUCUCACUACAAUGUAGUCUCCCACUGUAUAUCCACAAUGUUUUACUCAUUCCACUAUUGAUGGACAUGGACAUUGUUUGUCGAUUUCUUCUAUUAAAUAAUACUGCCCUGACUCAUACUUUGCUACCUGCCUCCUUACAUUUUUCUGGGAUACGUAUCUAGGAAAGAAGCUUCUGGCUUAAGGUGCUUCUUGAAUUCAUUUAAAUUAGUAAAAUAUAAGCUACUUUAUAUGCUAUGCAUAUAAACAUUUGUAGGAGUGUUCUAUUUUUUACAUCUUUUCAAUACUUACUCUUAUCUAAAUCAAAGAGACAUAUGCUUUGAAAUUUUAACCUAUUUCAUUAAUAUAAUGAUUCAUGCAAAAGUUUUUAUCAAAAUAUACAACAUAUAUCCGAUGUUAAACUGGAUGCCAAUAUAUUUUUAAUGUAUACCUUAUUUCAACAGUUAGAGCCUGCAUGACUGUGACGGUUGAUACUCAACAUCAGAGCACAUGCAAUGAUUAAAAGAAGAUAAGGUUUGAUGACCACAGUGCUGCAUACCUAUAAUUCUAGCAUUCUGGGAGCCUGGGGCAGGAGGAUCCCAAGUUUGGGCCCACCAGGGCAACUUGGCAACUUAAAAGCCUGGUGGCACAAGCCUGGAAUCCGAGUACAGUACUCACAAGGCUGAAGUAGGAAGAUCGCUGCAAGUUUGAGGCCAACCUGGGAUACAUAUUGAGUUCAAAGCCAGACUAAAUUACAUAGCAAAACCCUGUCUCAAGACAACAACAACAAAAAGUUCUUUUCAAAUUAUAUGUGGAAUAAAGAAUCCGCAGGCCUUCUUCUUUUACAUUGUUAAAAUUGUAUCCUAAUUUCUUAUCUCCUUUUGCUCUCCCAUCCUUUGUUUUACUCCUUUCUAGCAAUUAGCACUCAAGCAUGUGCUUCUGCAACCUCCCAGCCAGGUGGGCUUAUUUGGUUGUCACAAACCAUCCAUAGAUAGGGAAUAAGAAAUGUAGAGAUUAGAAUAAACUCACAGAAAUUAAGAAUAAGGUUGAGGAUCUGCUCAUGUACAUGUGGUGGGUAGGAGUAAAUUCAGAAGGAGUCUUGAAUGGAAAGGAUAAACACUCUGGGAUUUAAAAAUAAUAAUAAUUUGGCUUUUUUAGAGAACUAAGAAAACCAGGAUAUGACCAGAAUCUAAUCAGUAAAAGAGAAUUACAAGAGGUAGGAGUCUGAGAGAUGGCAGAACCUGGAACAGAAGAUGCCUCGCUGGCACAAUGAAAAGUCUGAAUGACAUUCCUAGUACAAUGGAAAACCAACCGGAUGGUCUGAAAUGUGAGGAUGACAUGUUCCUGCUUGUCCUCUGAAGGCACCAUGGAAAAGAGAUGUACAUGGAAACUGAGAGAGCAGUUAAUAGGCUACUGCUAUCCAGGUAAUGAAUAAUCGUGGCUUAGAUAAUGUAAAACUUAGUAGCAAUAAAACAAAAGUUAAGUUGAAAGCUUGAGGCUCAUUCAGAGGUAAUACUGGCAAAGAUCUAAUUCAUGGAAAAACUGAUAAGAUAUAUAAAGAAAAGAGAUAUUAAAGAAGACUUCUGGUGUUUUGAAUUAAGUGAAAAAUUAAAAGAGGUCUCAUUUUCAAUACCUGUUUCCAACAUCAUAAGAGGGUAAAAAUCAUAGAGAAGAAAAGAAUAUUUCCAUUUAUAUAAGCAGCUACUAAGUACAGAUAUGACACUGGGUGGUAUCUUAUUUAUAUUGUUCAAUUAGAGUUUUUAGAAAGCCUACGAAAAUAGGUGGUAACAUCCUAUGUUGCAGUAGAGAUGGGGGACUCCAGAACGAAGAAACUCGAUUUCUUGUCAAGUAUUUGGGAAGCUCAGUCACAGAGCCUACUUCCUGCUGGCUAAACGUCCAUACCAGGACUUGAUAAUUUCCUCUAAAUCAAUGAGGUACUGCUCCUAAGAUAUUUAUUGCAAGAUAGCUAAAGUUAUAACCCAACUGAUAAUCUAGUCUUAAACAGGCUCAGUGAAGUGAGCUCAUUGCUUCAAACACCUGUGAUUUGCAAUUAUCUAUACUGUUGGCAAAAUUGGUGUUUACGAGAGUGAGUCAUGGAGCUUUUACUGCAAUCUGGGUAGUUAGGAUUCUACCUGAGAAACUGAAGAAAUAUGUUUAAUGGAUAACUUCAAAUACAGAGACUGCCCUUUGUACUUUAAAGGCUGCCUGUGUUUAUUUCUUUUAAUCAGGGCAGAGGAGAUGCCACCAUGAACAACGUUCCUGGGCACUGGUUUUACAUCUUCACAUUUUUGCUAUCUGCACAAAUAGCAUUUUGCUAUAAUCCCUUUCCUAAGAGGAAUAGAGUUUAGCAGUUUCUGAAUUAUCAUUGUGUAAAUUGAAUACUUUUUAUUUAAACUCAAUCCCUACAAAUUAUGGUGACACAUGAAUGCCUGUAUUAUGACCUGGACCCAGCAACAGAAGAAGAAACCAGAAAGGACAUUUAAAAUGUUUCUCCAAGAUGCAAACACAGUCUCUGCCUUGCUUUGGAGGUCACCUUACAUUGGCAUUGAUUCUCUCCCCCCCCCCCCAUUCUCCACCCCACCUCUUUUUGAGUUUUUAUUUGGAGGGAGGGAUGUUCCCUCCCAGUGUUGGAGAUCGAACCCAAGAAUCCAUACACAGUAAGAAAGCAUUCUAUCUCUGAUCUACAUCCCCAAUUAGCUUUAUCUUGGGGUAGUCUCACUCACACAAACUUAAAUACUCACAGAACUUCCCUCUGCUGCUACCUAAUCAAACACUACACCAUUUAUUACAAGCCCAAUAUGUGAAAAUAAUAGCUUGUACAUGAGUAGCAGACAGCAGAAAUAAUUUUUGUAAAAUAACAGUCAUCUCUAGAUUAUUCAUGGGAGCUUCUUCUUUUUAUAUCCUAUCAGUGACUCUGGAUAAUAUCCUUAAGCUAAUUUAAUUUUCCCUUUGGGCCUAGCCCAAUGGAGUGGUCAAAAAGAGGAUACACUAAGCCUGCAAUGAAGGAGCUCUAGAUCAGGGUGGGUGUUAAGAGAAAAGGAGCCCCUCCAAAUGUCAAUAUAAAUGCUGCAUAUUCCAAAUGUUUGGGCUGGAUUCAUGGAAUAUACAGUCUAAAAUAUAUUCAUGGACCAUAAUAAAGAGAGAAUUUCUAACAUUAUAGUAAGACUAAAACACUUUAUCAUUACUCUGCAGUUAUAGUUUAAAUUUUGUCUCCCCUCACCCUACACCCAACUUGUAUGUUGAAGUCCUAACCACCCCCCCAAUACCUUAGAAUAGGACUAUAUUUGGAGAUGGUGCUAUUACAGGGAAAAUUAAGGUAAAGUGAGAUCAGAUGGGCCAUAACCCAGUACAACUAGUGUCCUUAUAAAACAAGACUAGGACACAGAGGACUCACAGACUCAGGGGUAACUAUGUGAAGAGACCAUGAGAAGGCAGCCAUGGCAAGCUGCAAAGAGGCCUCCAAAGGAACCAAAUCUCCUAACACCUCUGCCUUGGACUUAUAUAUUCUCGAACUGUGAGAAAACAAACUUCUGUUGUUUAAGAUGCCCAGCCUGUGGAAUUAUGUUAUGACCGCCCCAACAAACUAAUUCAUACAACUAAAUUUUUAAAAUUCAUCCUUUAUUUUUAUGUAGGAUAAAAGUAUUUUUGAGAUGAGUUCUGUGUAUUUUCCCUGGAUCAAGGAAAAACUGUAUUAAAAAGUAAUAUGCAAUCUCUUUAAUGUAUGUAUUCUCAUAGAAAUAAAUUCGUAUAACUCUAGAUCUUAUUAACAUACAUUUUUUGCUACUUUCCCCUUUUUAAAAAAUUACCUUUACUAGCUUUGAUAGUUAUUCCUUUCGUUUAUUCUUCACUUUGUUUUAAAUUGACAAAUUGUUCAAGGAAUAAUAUUUCAUUUUCAGAAAGAC
ensembl:lncRNA